rnacentral:rRNA from 1 species
AUACGAAAGGUGCAAGCGUUGUUCGGAUUUACUGGGCGUAAAGAGAGUGUAGGUUGUUUAUUAAGUCGGAUGUGAAAUCCCGGGGCUCAACCCCGGAACUGCAUUCGAUACUGAUAGGCUAGAGUUCGGGAGGGGUAAGCGGAAUUCCGUGUGUAGCAGUGAAAUGCGUAGAUAUACGGAGGAACACCUGAGGCGAAGGCGGCUUACUGGACCGAUACUGACACUGAGACUCGAAAGCGUGGGUAGCAGACAGGAUUAGAAACCCCAGUAGUCC